GCUGUCCCUAGUACGAGAGGACCGGGACGGACGAACCUCUGGUGUGCCAGUUGUUCUGCCAAGGGCAUGGCUGGUUGGCUACGUUCGGGAGGGAUAACCGCUGAAAGCAUCUAAGCGGGAAGCCUGCUUCGAGAUGAGGACUCCCACCUCCUGGAGAGGGUAAGGCUCCCAGUAGACGACUGGGUUGAUAGGCCGGAUAUGGAAGCACGGUAACGUGUGGAGUUGACCGGUACUAAUAGGCCGAGGGCUUGUCCUCAGUUG
rnacentral:rRNA from 1 species